GGAUUAGAUACCCUGGUAGUCCACGCCGUAAACGAUGUCUACUAGCCGUUGGGGUCCUUGAGACUUUAGUGGCGCAGUUAACGCGAUAAGUAGACCGCCUGGGGAGUACGGCCGCAAGGUUAAAACUCAAAUGAAUUGACGGGGGCCCGCACAAGCGGUGGAGCAUGUGGUUUAAUUCGAUGCAACGCGAAGAACCUUACCUGGUCUUGACAUAGUGAGAAUCUCUCAGAGAUGAGAGAGUGCCUUCGGGAACUCACAUACAGGUGCUGCAUGGCUGUCGUCAGCUCGUGCCG
rnacentral:rRNA from 1 species